rnacentral:rRNA from 1 species
GUCUACGGCCAUACUUUCCUGAACACGCCCGAUCUCGUCUGAUCUUGGAAGCUAAGCAGGCUCAGGCCUGGUCAGUACUUGGCUGGGAGACCGCCUGGGAAUACUGGGUGCUGUAGGCU